AAAUCUGAAAAGAUUUCAACCACAGUUUUGAAUCCAGGCAUUAAAAAGCCAGUUUUUACAAGUCAUAACAGUUGCCUAAUGUUUCUAUUUUUUGUGCUUGUUCCAGGUUAGAAUCCUCACAUUUUCCUGUUAUUUCUAUCGUAAAUCCCCACAUGGGCACCUGUGAGCUACUUCCUACUGAUAUGGAGGAGUGCCACGAUAUGAACGAGAUUUGCAAAAAUAAGGGCGGAUACAUCAUUGGAGGAGAACGUCUACUGCCGAUCAUGUGUGUACAUGUACAAGAAGAGAUGGACGAUUGGGAACCUGAAUGUGGGUGUAGCAUAAAGCCAGAAGUGUAUUCUUAUCUGAAAACUCAUCAUUAUGAUAUCGAUGGUUUCCAGCUUUCGGUGUAUGAUGGCUUGCCUGGUAUCCGAGAGUGGUUAGAAGAAAACAACAUCAAAUUCAUACCAGGCAUCAAUAUGGAGAAGUGUCACAAGAUGUGCUACAAGUAUGGAGGAUACAUCAUUGGAGGACUUCAACUGCCGACAAUAUAUAUCUUGCAUGGACGGGAAGAGAUUAACAAUGGAAAGCCUGAAUGUGGAUGUAGAUUGAACCCAGGCGUGGAGUUUUACUUAGAUGGUGAAGGUUAUGAUGUCAAUAGUUUCAAGCAUUCGGUGUACGAUGGCUUGCCUGGUAUCAGAAAAUGGUCGAAAGAAAACAAAAUCAAAAUCAGACCGAGGUUCAAAUUUAAAUAUUGAAAGAUUCCGAAUAUUUUCCAAAUAAUCAUCGAAGUCCAUCAAAAAUAUUACUAAAGCAUCUCCGUGGCGUAUGAGUAUACACAAGCACAUAUCUCGUUUGCGGUGUCUGAAAAUAUCCGCUUCUAUGAUAUGUUUUCAAAGGAGAUCAAAUUGACAUAAUUCCUUGAAGUUUUCGCGGAAUUUUUUUCACACACAGAAGAAAAAUCGCGGCAGUUUUAAAGAAUUGCCGUUGAGUAGUUGUCCGUUUAAAAAGUAAAUUAUGACAGGAAGUCUGCGACGUCGCAAACCGUCGAGUUAUGUGAUUGCCGACUCACACCGUUGAUUUGUUAUAUAUUAAAACGAAAUAGUCCGCAAAAUUUUUUAUAUAUUGUAAAAGUAGCAUAAAAAUGUCUCUAAAAUAUACCUAUUGUCAAAAAACGGUUUUCCAUAUAGAUGGACAAAACCAUUUUCAUGUUGGAACUAAAUUGCCCAUUUGGAUCUGUCAAUAGCUGAUGUGACUUUGAGUUUCUGCUUAACGCAGUCCAUUUCUAGGAUGCUGAAAGAGAUUGAAUAGUUGAAUCGGUGGAUGUUUAAACCUAAUACAUGAGUUAUCUCAUACACUAUCGAAUCAAUGGCAUCCUAAGGACGCCUAGAGCUUAGCAUAAUAUGAACUUGCGAUGUUUUAGGUUACUGAAAGAGGUCGGAGAGUUAGUUGAAUCGGUGGAUGAAAAAACCUAUUACACGAAUUAUUUCAUUAUCUGUAGAAUCUAGACAUCCUUAUCAAGCUUAGAGUUUUGCAGGAUGUGGACUCGGGAUGUUUUAGGGCGCUGAAAGAGGUCGGAUAUCUGAAUCGGUGGAUGUUAAAACCUAACCCACGAAUUAUUUCAUAAUCCGUAGAAUCCAGACAUCCUUAUCAAGCUUUGAGUUUUGCAGAAUAUGGACUUGCGAUGUUUUAGCAUCGAAUGAAUCGGUUGUUUGGGAGACAUAGAAUUAACCGCUCGGACGGAGGGUGUUGCUUUUAGGAAGGGUGAUUUGGUUCCGGGCGAGGACCUUCCCCGCUUCCGGCGCCGGAACCACCGUCCGCCUCCGAUCCCCCAAAUUCCUCGCCGGAAGUUACGUAAACUUCCUCACUUUCGGGCUGGAUAUCGUAAAAGUCUCGUCAGAUUUUCCUAUCGACCGCGUGACUAACGGGAAUAUGCCCUCAAAACGCAAAUGAGGCGAUGAGUGCAUUAAGAACACAUCUCGGUUGCGAAGUUCGGGAAUCCACUGUGCUAAUUCAUAUUUUAAAGGGGAAACUGAUGGGUGAAUUCUCUGUAACUCGUUUAGAGUAUUGCAAAAUCUUAAAGGUAUUUAGUCAAAGUUUCGACAAAUUACAUGCAUAUCGAUGGCUGAUAAACGAUAGUGCUUCUCUGCGAACUGACGAUUCUAUAGUACCAGGAAAGAACUUAGUCAUUUUUGCAGUGGGCAAUAUUCCUAUUUCAUGACGGCGUAUCCAUACGUUGUACCUACGCCUCAUCUCACGUUAAUCACGGCACAGAGAUACGCAACUAUUCGUGCAUGAUGAACGUCCGUGUUGCGUUUGCAAAAUUGAAGGCGCUCGUGCACAAGGUGUGAACACGCAAUGUUCCGCACUAUGCUGCCUGUGAGUUGCCGCGCAGAUUUGGGAAAAAGGUAAUAAACGAGGCCAGAAUAUAUACUUCUUAUCUUCGGCUGUGUUGCUCACGUACCCUCUUAAGCACCACCACUAAUCACACAACAUUCAAAUUAAUAUUGAUUUAUUGCAAGGAAGAUGCGGCGCGUUAAUGACGGCGCAGAGAUACAACUAUUCGUACUUGAUGGAUGUCCGUGUUGCAUCUGCAAAGUUGAAGGCGCGAUGGCAUGCCACUUCAAAUACGAGAUGGAGCAAGGGAAAAGACGCGCGUUGACGACGGCGCAGAGAUACAACUAUUCGUACUUGCUGGAUGUCCGUGCUGCAUCUGCAAAAUAGAAGGCGCUAUGGCACGAGGCUUGACCACGCUAUGCUAACAUACUGCCUAUAAGUUGUCAAUCAGAUUCGGGAGAAAAGUUUAAAAACGCGAACCAAACAACUCUUUCUUACUUUGGCUGCGUUAAACUCGUUUUUUUCCCUUUUUUUCAAUUUGAUGUCUGAUCCUUUUUAAGGAUUUAUUUGUAGACCUAUAUUUGAAGCUCGUACGUACCGGCCCCAUAAAACCUGCGGGGCACGUGUUUUUAGCAAGCCUCGGGUCAAUUUGAUCCGGGUUAUGCGGUAUUCUGCUGUCCUAAGGAAAAACGCCGUAUGAACAUUAAAGAAUUGCCAAAUUUCCUUCGAUAAAAUUUCAUUUUGAGGAACGUUACGAAUAUUUUUCCUUGAAGUUUUCAGGAACUUUAGGUGAAAUUGCGUACAAAAUUAUCUGAAAACUCAUAAGGAAAAUAAUCAUAAUUUUACCAGGAAAUUCGUGUUUUAUCAAAGGAAAUUUGGCAACGCCUGAAGGCUCAUGCGGCGUUCUUCCUUAGCACGGCAGUAUUGUUCUCUUGUCCUGAAUAUAAUUCGAUCUCAAUGAAUGGAACGUUAGCGGAGACUCGGUGACACCGCGUCCGAAAGGCGCCUUUUCUACGCCCAGCGCUUGAAAUUAGCUGGACUCGUUCAUCCACGAUACGCAACAAACAAAGUGAAUUUUUACGUAAACGUAUAAAGUCGAAUUUCGGAAUGAAAUGAGUUUAUGAAGUAGUUGUGAAACUGCAAUGGAAAAAAAAUAUUCACUCAUAAUUAUUAACAAUUGAUUACUCAGUUUAAUUAUAGUGCAAUCAACCUCACUACAUGGAAAAAAAAUGACGUUGCCGAUCGAACAAUUUUGUAGUUUAAAAGAAAAGUCGAACAUGUUUAAAUGUAUAUUUUACAGUAAAAAAAAAAAAAAAAAAAAAAAAAAAAAAAAAAAAAUAUGCUAUGAUUUACCCACCCCCGUGAUUAAAAUUGCUAUCCUUUAUUGUAAAAUUUACAUUUGAAACACUUCGGUCAUAUUUUUUAACAAUUGAAUUGUUAGAUCAGUAAUCCAAUUUGUUUACAUUUAAGGAACCCCUCCAGUUUGGAGAUAGGAGAUAAGCAACAUGCAUAACACUCCGAUGUAUUAGUAAUCAUUGUAGCAUGUAAUUGCAAUUUACUGCAACCUGUGCCUCUUGGGUUUGACCGGGCGCUUAAGUUACUUGAAAUUGGACGUAUAGUUAUGUUAAAAGUAACAAAGUGCAUAGGAAUUUAAUAAAAAAAAACUGUGAAGCACGCAAACCCUGUGUGCAUACGGCCUUUUUAUUUAAUUAAUUUGUACUUGGCUCCUCUCAGCGUAGAUCCGUUCGAUUUUCACUCUUCAAAUGUUAAGUGCUUGCCGAUAAUGAAACAAAGCCAUGUAGCGCAGCGGGCCCAAGUGGUUCUCGUGUGUAAUGGAUCUGAAAAUUGGUCAAACUUAAAUUAUUCCUGACAGCUUUGCCCUGGAACGAGUCCCCGGAAUGUAUCGAGUGCCGAUGGCUUUAGUCUAAAAAAUGCAUUAGAUAAUUCAGACGUUCAUCAGCGGAGCGGAGCCGAGUGUUUUAUAUUUCAUGAUUCGACGAGGGUUUGCUAUGAUUGCGUUCCUACGGCAAUUAUAACGGAUGAUAAGUCGGCCUCCCCUGUGACAUUUAGCGUGGGGGUCCCGUAUUGAGGAACCCGCUGUUUCCAUUCAUGCGCCGCAAUACCCGUUUCAGACCGGUUGCGCGCGGACAGUUGACAGGGUUGCCACUGUCAGGGAAAACCGGGAAAUGUCGGGGAAUUUUAAAAAGCCAGGGAAAAUCUGGAAAUGUCGGGGAAAAUCUGUGAAGCCACCUUCGUUUCCUCUCUAGAAUGGAUUUGAAAUGAGUUGAAAAUGGGUUGGAAUUAAUUUCAAACCGUGUCAUCUUGAGCUUUUGGCAUACUCUCAAUUUCCAGGGAAUUGUACCAAUAUGGGGUGGAGAAAUCGGGGAAAUGUCGAGGAAUUUCAUUUUCAAAAAACUGUGGCAACCCUGAGUUGAAGCAUAUCGGAUCAAAAUGGCUCGAAGUAACUCUUUUAAGCUUUAAAAAAACGCGCGCGCAACGCUGUUCUGCCGUGCUGUAAGGAAGAACGCCGUAUGAACCUUUAGGCAUCGCCAAAGUCCCUUCGAUAAUAAACGAAUUUCCUGAAUGAAAUUAUGAAUAUUUUCCCUCUAAUUUAACAGAUAAUGUUUCUCACAUUUUUACCUUAAGCUCCUGAAAUUUUCAUGGGAAGAUAUUCGUAAUUUUUAUCAAAAAUAAAUAUUUUAUCGAAGAAAAUUUGGCAACCCUCGAAUGUUCAUACGACGUUCUUCCUUAACAUGGCAGUGUUGCUGGGUGGUUUUUGUCCCAUUUUGUGCUGGUAAUUGACUAAAUCACCAAAUUAUGUUCUUUUACAAAAUCCGUGUCUUUCUGCACGUGGUCGUUUGCCAAAAUUGCCACAGAACAAAGCGAAAUUGACUCAUUAACUGUGAUGUACGCGCGCGCGUCGUUGGAAUGUCACGCAUUAGUCACAUUUUCCCGAGUUGCGGGAUGCGAUCUGACGACCGGAUCGGUAUUCCUUGAGCAGUGCCGUGGCGCGAUUUGCAGUAUAUCGAUUGAUCGGUCAUUUAAACCUAUGGAAAAGUAUCGAUUAACAAGGUGUUCGCUGCGAACACCUUAAUAAUCGAUUAUUUACCACAGUUUCAAAUGAAGAAACAUCGAUAGAUCACAAAUUUUCCCGAGUUGCGGGAUGCGAUCUGACGACCGGGCUCGUCAUCGGUAUUCCUUGAGCAGUGGCUUGGCGUGAUUUGCGAUAUAUCGAUUGAUCGGCCUUUAAACCUAUGGAAAAGUAUCGAUUAACAGGGUGUUCGCAGCGAACGCCUUAAUAAUCGAUUAUUUACCA
rnacentral:lncRNA from 1 species